CGCCGCAGAAGAUACAUCGCUCAGCACCACGACCCUUGGCCUGAGAGCGUGGGUACUUCGGGGGCCUCCUGGAGCUAGACUGACCACCCGAUCCACCACCUUGUCUUUUCUUGCCCUUGUCCUUGUCCUUAUCGAACGCCUCACGGUCCUCACGCUCGCAAGCGUUCCCGUGCUCGACCCAUAGCGCGCGAUCCAAUGCUCCCGCCAAAGUGUGGAACUUAAAGGCAU
rnacentral:lncRNA from 1 species